rnacentral:lncRNA from 1 species
UAUGCAACACUAAAUUAAAGUCAACAUUAAGCUUCUCUAGUAAUAAACACCCACAUCUCAAUAGGAUGGCGAAAAUGAAUUUCACAAGGUAUUCUAUUUCUGGUCCACUCUGAUCCAUAUACAUGGCCUGAUUAACAUGACAGGACCAUUUAGAGCACAUGACCGACAACAAAGGAUUUAAAUUAUCAUGCAGACAAAUGAGUUUUGCUCCUGCAAUUGUAAGCAAGGGAAGCCUCUGCUAAGCGCUUCUUCUCUCCAUAUGUACUCCUGAUGCUUCUGGUUGUUAAAGCAUCAUCCAUCUACAAAUGAAGACAAAUGAAGAAAAAAAAUUAUAGUUCACAUCAGAAGGAAAGAAAUUGAAAAUAAUUAUGAUCGUUGGUAGACUAAAUGGUUGUAAGGGAGAAAAACAGAGCAAGAUGUAACAAGCAUAUAUGUUGUACUUUAACCACUAGAAUAGUACAUUUAGGUGACUAGCAUGAAAAUUAAGUAAGAUUGUCAGAACUGAAAACAUUGACCAGAGUGCUACAUCCUUUGCAAGUGAAAUACCAACAUCAGUAGAAUAACCCAAAAGAAUUGCCUGCAGCAGAGGUGUAGUGCUUAAAAAGUAUUUAAUAUUAAUAAUACAAAUUUCUAGGCUUGAAUAACAGUUCAUGUCCUAAUCAUGUGUGUGCUUCACAAUUAAGAAUGGGUGUUAAGUUUUUUUUCUAACUCGUAGAUGAGGAAAAUGUAACAUCUUACAAUAAAUGAGUGGAGCCUUGUUAGAAUGCUGCAUCACAAAAACGUAUGGCAGACCAGUGAAGAGAAAAGAACAAGAAUACCAUAUGGCAAAAUAUAUUCAAAGCUUGACAAUGACCGAUCACUUGUAUCAUCAGAAAAGUGAAGGUGUAAUUUGAUGUUGUUACAAGUUCCAACUCUUAAUUGUUUUGUUCAAUAUCAAGUUCACCUGACUUCCAAUCAACCAGAACAGUAUGAUUCAGGAAUGCUCGUAUAGAAUAAGAAAAUUGCAACCGAGCAUUGAUUUAAAGGCAAG